AAGAGAACUAAACACAGCCUUGCUCGGCAGGGAGGUGAAUCUAACAACUCUCCCCCCACCCCAGCAAUUGAAAACAACCAUGUGUAGCAGAGGCAGGCUCCCAGAGUUGUGCCAACUGAGAGGCAGGGCAGGAGGAAGACGAGAGAGGAGAAAAGGGGAAGAUUUAUGCAAGGCUGAUGGGAAACAAGGAAUUCAGCUUUCUUUCUUUGAAUUAGGAGAGAUGGAAAAGGCAGAGGGGACUAUGCUAGCUUACCUGGCCAAGGAGAGCCACAAAAUGUAUGCAAGUCUCCCUCCUGCACCCCCUUCGAAGCAAUUGGUAGAUCCGGCAGGCGUUCCAGGCAAGCAACUCACAAUCUGCUGAUACCCAAAGCAUCUUGCAAAUUGAGGAAGAGCGAUGCUCCAGGAGACCAUGGAGACUGAUUAGAGACAGUGGGUGCACAGGCUUCGAGGCAGAUUCCAUGACUGAUUGUUCUUCUCUUGCUCCCAGACCUUGCCUGAGAGCCCUCCUUGGAGACCAGUCCUUCCAUUUUUCCACAACUCCCUUGGUUGAUGUCCACAACCAGGUUGCUGACAUAGAAAAGGGUGUGAUCUACCAGCUUUGACUGCAAGGGCCUAUGCAGCAUAAGAAGGGGAAGUAUGACUGAAGUGGAGCCUGUGCUGGAUUUUGCAUCAUCAGGGCGCACUGGCCGAAGAAACGCCUUGCCGGAUAUCCUGGGUUCACCGGCUGGCGUCAGCCCCACCGAUUUGCCCCUGAAACUGGCAGAAAUGUCUAUUAACUCAGACAGAUCACAAGAAAUACAGUCACCAGCCACAGAGGUGCCUCCACCAGCACCCCAAAGUCCAGAGUUGAAAGAUACCUCUUAACCCAUCCUCUUGGAAGUCAACUGAAGAAGGAGAAACUUCCUAACAUCAAAAGAAGUUUGCCUGGAGUUUGCUGGGGUUACCCGGCGAAACUUGUCUUAACAUCCCAUGGCAUGAAGGAGAAACACAGGAGGAUGGAAAAAAUAAGCAACCACACAUUUUAUAAAGACUGGGGUGGGACUUUAGGGACUUUUUCUUCAGAGGGCACUUGAAGAACUGCAAGACAGAAUGGAAGGGGUUUUUAGAGAUUUAAGUUUGUUUCCACAGCUCUGAUGCAGAGAGCAACCAUGAAGUCUCAUCAAGUUGUUUUGGGGUCAUCUAGUUCAGGAUUGUCUUGGUUGAAAGCUGCAGGAUCCCAGAGUUUCAGCCGGGGCCUUGUUGAAGCUCAUCUGAAGAUGCCCAGAAUGUGACAUGGGAUCAGCUAUGUGAAAAACAAAAGCUGCUCCACUGAACUUCAUCCUUAACUGUGCAUCUGCCAUAGAUUUGUGGGUCCAAAAUGUUAUUCAAAGAUCCAUGAGCUGUUUUUUUUUAGCAAUGUGUAUUUUUCACAGUAUGCAUCUGUCAUUGUGAUGUUUGGGAGCAAAGCCUUCCUUUUUUGGAGAUUAUGUGUUGGUUUCACCACCAGGUCUAUGGUCCUUUCUACAAAACAUUUUAGGUGAGAAGUCAGUGUCCCAGUUCCUUCUACCCUCAUUGAAUUCCUCUCAAGGGGGAUGUUCUUUCCAAAAUAAUCUACCUGUUUUGGAAAUUGCUCUGGCUUGUGGAAUAAAACAAAGAACAUCUCACAUAAAGGAAAUCAAUAUGGCUGUUAUUACCAAAGGUGGCUGGUCAUAGCCUUACCUAUGAGAUUCUCAGGUCAUGAAAAAUUGGACAGUUUAUACUCGUUUUAGAGAUCCUUUAAUUCUCACUGGAAGUAGAAUAUUGGCUUUCAUAUUUUGGAUAAAGUGCCAUUGAAAUGGAAUUCCAAUUGGUACUUCUUGAUGAAUGAAAUUUUUAGUUAACAGAUGGAGAAAAAAGAUUUUCCAUCUAGCUUUUUGUGGCCUUGUUCUAAGUUUCUAUUUUUAGAAAUCAGUAGAGAAGGACACAUGUGGAUAAAAUAGCUUUUGCUAAAAUCCAAACAGCAUUGGAAGACCUGAAAGGCCAGGUUAGGGACAGACCAACAUGGAAGAAAUCUAUUUCAUGUGGUCGCUAGGAAUCAAAAAUCACUUGAAGGCACUUAAUGAAGCCCAAAUCCCUGCUAUUUAUUUUUAUAUUUAUUUAUUGAGGCUUCUAGUCCCAAGUUACUGAUUGGCUUCAUCUUCAAUAUGCAGAAACAGGAUUAAAAGUGUUCUGUAAUAUCCCAAACAAAUUAAUAACAGAUAUCCCUUCUCCAAAAAACUUGCACUAUUAAAAGAUCUGAAGAAGCCAGUUGGGGACAGAUCAUAAAAGAGAAAAUCUGUCUAAAGUUACCAGUCCUUGCACUUACAACUGUCACCGCAUUCACACGUCAUAUGAUCAAAAUUUGGGUGCUUUGGCAACCAGAAAUUCUGGUCUGAAUUGUGAUUAUAAAUUGAGGACCACCUGUAUGUGGUUACUAAGAGUUGAUGCCAACUUGAUGGCACAUAAGCAAUCAAUCAAUCGUCCCAGAAGGAUCCCAAAUAUAAGGGAAAAAGUAUCAUUAGUAAACAAUUGAAUUGAUAAGACAGAGGGUGCAAAGCCUUUUCAGCUGUUGAAGCCAAAUGAAGCACAGAGAUUGUAUAGUCCCAAGGAUUUUUUUUAAUAGCUGCUGUCUUUAAAGAUGGGAUUUAUAAUAAUCACAUUAAGACAGGAUAUAUUUAAUAUAUUCCAUUCAUAAUAGAAAAUAAAAUCAGGAGAAAACAAUCCUGAAAAGUCAACUGUGUUCAAAAAUACAACUUAACUUUUGGGGGAGGAGGGGAAAUGCAUAUUUGCCCAUUUUUGUUUUGGAGUGAAAAUCCAUGUCUGGUGAGGAUCUGUUUGUGCAAAACUCAUUAAAUUUCCACUGUUCAGACACCAUCUGCUUUUCCUGUCUCAGUUCUGGUAUGAGUCUUUCUUUUCAUUGUUGGAAGCACCUUUAUUGCGAAGUCAGGGUGAAGGGAUGCUUGGCUCAAUCUAAGGUAUUUUCUUCAGCAACCGUUCCUUAAUCUGGCACUGUUCAGAUUACAUUGGAUUUUUUUUAAAAAAACUCCAAGAAUCCCAGCUGGGGAUGUCAGGUUGGAAAAGCAGAAGAGUAAUGGCCAACUCUUCGGCCUGAGCAUGUCCAAAAUUUAAAAAAUGCUUUAGUUGAAUCUGCUGAUGUGUCAUCAAUCCAAUUUGAUCCAGUGGUGAAGGCACCAAAUAGAGAGGGGCCAUGAGUUCAAGUCCUGCCUUUGCCACAAAAGCCAGAUGGGUGACUUUGAGCCACUCUCUUUCAGAUCAAUUCACCUCACAUGGUUGUUGUAGGGAAAAUAGGAGGAGAAAGGUGUGCUGGAAAGAAUAGAAUAGUAGAAGUAGUGUAUACCUUUUUUUAAUGAAAAUUAUC